rnacentral:rRNA from 1 species
UACGGGGGGGGCAAGCGUUGUUCGGAAUUACUGGGCGGAAAGGGUUCGUAGGUGGCUUGCUAAGUCAGACGUGAAAUCCCUCAGCUUAACUGGGGAACUGCGUCUGAGACUGGCAAGCUUGAGUGCAGGAGAGGAAUGCGGAAUUCCAGGUGUAGCGGUGAAAUGCGUAGAUAUCUGGAGGAACACCGGUGGCGAAGGCGGCGUUCUGGACUGCAACUGACACUGAGGAACGAAAGCCAGGGGAGCAAACGGG